AGGGAAUCUUCCACAAUGGACGGAAGUCUGAUGGAGCAAUGCCGCGUGAGCGAAGAAGGUUUUCGGAUCGUAAAGCUCUGUUGUGAGGGAAGAACACGUACGGGAGUAACUGCCCGUACCUUGACGGUACCUCAUUAGAAAGCCACGGCUAACUACGUGCCAGCAGCCGCGGUAAUACGUAGGUGGCAAGCGUUGUCCGGAAUUAUUGGGCGUAAAGCGCGCGCAGGCGGUCUUUUAAGUCUGAUGUGAAAGCCCACGGCUCAACCGUGGAAGGUCAUUGGAAACUGAAGGACUUGAGUACAGAAGAGGAAAGCGGAAUUCCACGUGUAGCGGUGAAAUGCGUAGAGAUGUGGAGGAACACCAGUGGCGAAGGCGGCUUUCUGGUCUGUAACUGACGCUGAGGCGCGAAAGCGUGGGGAGCAAAC
rnacentral:rRNA from 1 species